GAGUGUGUAGUUCUGUGGUAGAGUGUGUGCUUAGCAUGCACAAGGUCCUGGGUUCAAUCCCCAGUACCUCU
rnacentral:tRNA from 1 species